CUGUUCAGUACUAUAGAGUAGCAUUGGGCAUCAAGAACCGGUUCCUACUUGGAAUCAUUUCAAAAAUUCAGAUUCCAAUGGAAUUGUUUUUUUUUUUUUA